AUACAGAAAAUCUAACAGGUGUGUGCAUAUGCUGGAGUACUAUUCUCUUUCCUUUUCCUGUAGUUAUGCACAUGCUUGAAUCCUGCGUGUGCGUGCAUAUUUGGAGUCAGUCUCCAGCUUAAGCUAAUUGAAAGAAGUGAUUUAUGAGACGAAUUAUGUUAAAAAAAUAAAAUUCAAGGACCAAAAUUAUAAUUUGGAUCA
rnacentral:misc_RNA from 1 species